GAUGAAGAACGCAGCGAAAUGCGAUAAGUAAUGCGAAUUGCAGAAUUCAGUGAGUCAUCGAAUCUUUGAACGCACAUUGCGCCCUGUGGUAUUCCGCAGGGCAUGCCUGUUCGAGCGUCAUUUCAACCCUCAAGCCCCGCUUGGUGUUGGGUCCCGCCCGCUGUGGCCGGCCCUAAAGACAGUGGCGGCGCCGCCUGGCCCUCAGCGUAGUACAUCUCUCGCUCCAGGGUCCGGUGGCCGCCUGCCAGAACCCCCCAACUCUGUGGUUGACCUCGGAUCAGGUAGGGAUACCCGCUGAACUUAAGCAUAUCAAUAAGCGGAGGA
rnacentral:misc_RNA from 1 species